GGAGGGGAUUAACUCGGUUGGGAGAGCGCCUGCCUUGCACGCAGGGGGUCAUCGGUUCGAGCCCGUUAUCCUCCG
rnacentral:tRNA from 1 species